CUAGUCUAGCCCUAGACAGGGACUUCAGUUUUCCUAGGUGUCUCCUAGCUUUUAGAGAGUGCCAGCUACUCACCUUGUGGUUAUACAAGAUUUGUAUAGUUUUUAAUGACAACAUUUCAGGAAGAAGCAAUAAAACAUCUUGAAGACAGAACUGUCUUUUUAAAAUUUGCUCAGAAUUACCAUACCAGUAAUUCCAGCAGUUGAGCAAAGGACAGUACCAGCAAAGGACAGUAUAAAGGGGAAAGGAACAGAGAAGAAGCAAGACCUAUAAAAUUAUGCUUAUAAAAAUUAGACUAAUAGGCCGGGUGCGGUGGGUCACGCCUGUAAUCCCAGCACCUUGGGAGGCCGAGGCAGGCAGAUCACGAGGUCAGGAGUUCCAGGCCAGCCUGGCCAACAUAGUGAAACUCUGUCUCUACUAAAAAUAAAAAAAAUUGGCCAGGCAUGGUGGCAGGCGCCUGUAAUCCCUGAUACUUGGGAUGCUGAGGCAGGAGAAUUGCUUGAACCCAGGAGGCAGAAGUUGCAGUUAGCCGAGAUUGUGCCAUUGCCUCCAGCCUAAGUGACAGAGUGAGACUCCGUCUAAAAAAAAAAAAAAAAAAAAAAUAGACUAAUUUUAUUAUGGGACAUGUGCCACAACAUACAUUCUAACUAUAGAUCUUCUUUCUCAAUUUUAUAUUACAUCAUGGGUUAUCCCAUUAGAAUAAUGCUGGCUACAGUAAUAAAUAACCCCAACAUUUCAGUGGCUUAACAUGGAAGGAAUUUUUUGUUGUUGUUGCUAAUUUAAUAGAUGAGUGUGAGUGUUCAUUAGCAGGUAGCUUUCCACCAGGUAGUCAUAUAGGAGCCCAGGUUCCUUCUCCUUUGCCAUCCCCUUGGUCUAGAGCCUUGAAGGAGGAAAAGGCACAACUGCAUCUCACCCAUCUUCCCAGAUGUAACCCAUAUCAUCUCCACUCACAUUCUAUUGGUAAGAAUUAGACUCAGAGCUUCACCUGGCUGCAAGGAGGUUGGGAAAUACAGUCCGUGACUGAGAGCCACUUCCCAAGAAGGACUACGCUACAGAAGAGCAAGUAUCAAUUUGAUGGAAAGUUACCCACCUCUACCCAUUACAACAUGGGCAUCAUAUAAACUAGCAGGUCCCCAAACCCCUGGCCGCAGACUGGUACUGGUCCGUGGUCUGUUAGGAACUGGGCCACACAGCAGGAGGGGAGCGGCAGGUGAGUGAGCAUUUCUUCCUGAGCUCUACCUCCUGUCCAAUCAGCAGUGACACUAGGAGAUUAGAUUCUCAUAGGAGCGUGAACCUUAUUGUAAACUGCACAAGCAAGGGAUCUAGGCUGUAUGCUCCUUAUGAGACUCUAAUGCCUGAUGCUUUGAGGUGGAACAGUUUCAUCCUGAAACCAUCCCACCCUCCCACCUUCCCAUGGAAAAACUGUCUUCCAUGAAACUUGUCCCUGGUACCAAAAGGGUUGGGGACUACUGAUAUAAACUACAGGGGCAAAUAUAUACAGUGGGAGAGACAAAACUUAAUAGUUCAGGUGAAUGACCUUAUGUCUCAUCCCAGAGGCAAAUCAGUUCCAAUUUGACAGAGGAACAGUAAGGCUGGAACCUCAAAAGUGUCUCUUUCUCAGAGAACUUUGCCCUCAGGCUCUAGGUUUGGCUCUGAGACUUUCCUCAUCAACAAGUCCCUUUAUGUUUUUAGCCAGAGUAGUGGGCCCUGAGGAAAAGAUGUCUCCAUAAGAACUAAAAUGUAAAUCAUAACAGGACUUAUAAAUCAUUCAAAGCCAAGAUUUUUGGCUUUAGAACUAUAGCAUGUCUUGGUGAAAUAUAUAAAAACUUCUCCAAAUUUCAGGAUUCUGUUUUCAGAGGACUAAGAAAGGGCAUUACAAAUCUGGACCUUAGGCUGGGUGCUGUGGCUCACGCCUGUAAUCCCAGCACUUUGGGAGGCAGAGGCAGGUGGAUCACUUGAGGUCAGGAGUUCGAGACCAGCCUGGCCAAAAUGGUGAAACCCCAUCUCUACUAAUAAUACAAAAAUUAGCCAGGCAUGGUGGUGGGCACCUGUAAUCCUAGCUACUUGGGAGGCUGAGGCAAGAGAAUUGCUUGAACCUGGGUGGUGGAGGUUGCAGUGAGCCGACAUCGCACCACUGCACUCCAGCCUGGGCAACAGAGUGAGACUCCAUCUC
rnacentral:lncRNA from 10 species